rnacentral:rRNA from 1 species
AUUGAACGCUGGCGGCAGGCCUAACACAUGCAAGUCGAGCGAGCGGCGGACGGGUGUGUAAUGUAUGGGGAUCUGCCCGAUAGAGGGGGAUAACUACUGGAAACGGUUGCUAAUACCGCAUACUAUCGGAUGAACCCCGAUGGGAUUAGCUAUUAGGUGGGGUAAAGGGUCACUUAGGCUACGAUCGCUAGCUGGUCUGAGAGGAUGAACAGCCACACUGGAACUGAGGCACGGGCCAGACUCCUACGGGAGGCAGGAGUGGGGAAUAUGGGAUAAUGUGCUCAGGCCGGAUGCAGCCAUGCCGCGUGUAUGAAGAGGGCCUUAGGGUUGUAAAGUACUUUCAGCGGGGAGGCGUUACCCGCAGAAGAAGCACCGGCUAACUCCGUGCCAGCCGCCGCGGUAAUAC